GCUCACAAUUCCGCAGAUUAAAGCAGAAAUGGAAAAAACUCUUCACUGGCUUGUCCCAGUCGCUGCAGAUACUACGAAAGCACACCAAGGCUUUGGAUGGGUUGGAGAGUGGGCCAACACCGGAAGCGAGUUUGGCAAGAAGAACCCUCCACAAGUUUCCCUCAUUCGACUGCAGACACUCUACCAUGCUGACAAACAGAAAAUGGACUACCAUGUCCUUGAACUAGUGACAUGGCUUCACCGUUUGAUCAGCCUGGUAAGAUAUAAUGGGCCCAAGGCUUUUCCAG
rnacentral:misc_RNA from 1 species